AUAAGGAAGUAAUUGUCAGACUUCCACAGGGCGCUAAGUCUACUGAACGUUGCCAAUGUCAUUUAAACAAGAGGAAGGGUAUUUCAGCACCGAGGACGAAAAUGCUGAAAGGACAUAAAUGAAAGAGUUAUGGGAAAGAGUCCUCUCACAAAUAGGGAAAUGUGAAUUGGAUGUGCGUGGAAAGGGGGAAAGUUCUUAAGACUUCAGAGGAGUCUUUGGUGCUUUUGUUUUUAUUGUGCCCUAGGAGUUCCUGGAUUCUAAACCCCGGAUCUCCUGCCAUCAGUGUCUAAGGCCCAGCUGAAGAGUCUGUGCGUGUGCUUCCGGGAUGUGCUACAACUGCUCAGAGCCAUGGAGAGCUGGCUGGCUGAACAGCCAUUCGGCACACUGUCAUCUCGGCCCUGAAAGAAGGGGACCACAAGCCAACAAGCUUUCCAGGCACCACCUUCAACCGAUGCACUUAGGAAGUUCAAGGGCAGUUGGUCCAAUACAACUGGAGAGAGACCAAUGGCUUGUGGAUGAGCUUCAGAAGUGGCAGUAAAUCAUUUGAUGUGGACUGAACCAUUGUGAAAAUAACAGCCUUCACAAAAGAUGAGUGCAUCACACACUCUGCUGAAAAAGAAGAACAUGAUUAUGAUGGACCUAGGAGCUAUAAUAAUAAUGAAAUGAAAUCAAUGUUAGUGUGGCUUGUUGCUUUCUGUUUCAUAGCUUCACGGUGCUUGGCACAGUACCAAAAUUCAUCUGAUAUCUUUAUUUCAGUUAAUAUGGGCCUUCUCUUGGCAUUUUUAUAAUCUGCCUUUC